AGAGGGAAAAGAUUUUGGAAGAGAGCAGACGACUGAGAGAAGAGACUAGCGGCGGUCAGCCAGGUGUCUGCCGAGACAGCCCCUACCAUUACAAGGACUGCAACUUGAGCCUAUGAGCCUGCCACAGAGGUUCAUGGAGUCAUCGGGUGUUGGCAAGCCUAUUCGCGAUCAUCGCAUGCAUUCUCUGACAGUCGACGACCGUGAAGAUUCUCACACCAGCCAUCGAAUGGAGGAGGCGGCGACAUGGUGUUGACACUGAAGACUUUGAAAUGCCAGAAGAAUUCAGACACCCUCGGGAUCUGACUCUGUCCAUUGCUGUAUGGAAAAGCCGAGGCUACAGCACACUGUCGGCUGUGUAACCUUCUCACCGGCAACUGCAAAAAGAAACCGUUGUGGCGAGAUCAAGGAGGCAGACAGUCCAUGGUGGGAAGUCGCUGUGAGGGCAAAAUGAAAACAGCCAGAUGCAUACAAGAAAAUAACGAUCCAGAUGAGUAGUAAAUACACAUGAAUAAUACAAUAAUAAUUGGAUAAAAGAUGUUAAAACCUAUUGUCAGGGACGCGUUCGCUUCACAAUUUCACACACCACUCGAACCCACUGUGUCCACACGUCCCCACACCUGUUCUUUCCUUCAUAAAUCAGAGAUUUGACGUGGGCAACGACAUCGUUAUAAUUCAACAU